CAGCCGCCGCGGUAAUACAGAGGGUGCGAGCGUUAAUCGGAUUUACUGGGCGUAAAGCGUGCGUAGGCGGCUUCUUAAGUCGGAUGUGAAAUCCCUGAGCUUAACUUAGGAAUUGCAUUCGAUACUGGGAAGCUAGAGUAUGGGAGAGGAUGGUAGAAUUCCAGGUGUAGCGGUGAAAUGCGUAGAGAUCUGGAGGAAUACCGAUGGCGAAGGCAGCCAUCUGGCCUAAUACUGACGCUGAGGUACGAAAGCAUGGGGAGCAAACAGGUUUAGAUACCCCGGUAGUCCCUGUCUCUUAUAC
rnacentral:rRNA from 1 species